CAGAGUACGUGAAACCGCUUAGGGGUUAAGCCCGAUGAACCUGAAUAUCUGAAUUGGGAAAUUCAAUACUAUUUCAUUUAUUUUAUUUAAACAAUAGAUAUAUGGUGGUAUGCACUUUUCCCAUAGUAGGACAUUGCGAUCCAUUAGUAGUGCUUAUUUUAUAUAAGACAGUUUAUCAAACGGCCCGUGUAGUCAGUUUGUUCUAUCUGUAAUACUUGUUAUUAUAUGGACAAUGCUAUGUGGUGACCUGGUAAACAACUGAUGGAGCUUAAAAAUCAUGCUAACAUGCAAUUGUAUCACGGUUUGUAUAAAUUAUUUAUGUAAAUGCAGUGAUCGCAUGUAUUUGAUUAGCAAUGCGAUAGAUUUGGGAUACCUUCGGGACCCGUCUUGAAACACGGACCAAGAAGUCUAACAUGUGUGUAAGUCAUUGGGUAUUUUGUUGAAACCUAAAGGCGUAAUUAAAAUAACUAUAUUUUAAUGGGAUUACAAGCAAUUUUAUAUAAUUGUUUCUCCAUCCCGGGGCGUUCUAUACGAACAUGGUUUAAGCGAUUAGACCCUCUGUUCAAGAGCGUACCUUGAACAUACAUGCUGUGACCCGAA
rnacentral:rRNA from 1 species